AUGCAUUUAUCAAUGGACUCAGCAGAAACAGAGACAACAUAUUUUUGGCUGAAGCCCGAUGGUCAGGUCCUGACAGAAUUGAUCCACCAACAAGGCAGAGCACAGUGUGGGGGCAGCAAACACAGGACACACAUGUGGCCCCUCUGCACUCCAGCAGCCUCACAGGAGGAGCUCCCGGAUUCUAGGACUCCUGCUGCCGAGCACUUGUCCUCGGUGAGACUUCUCAGUCCUCAUGCUCCAGGCAGCCGCUACCAAUGACUUUGAGUUGAUAGAAAAGUUAACAAAGUUUUUCUCUGGAAUAGCAGAAAGUGUAAAAACAUCCCAG
rnacentral:lncRNA from 1 species